rnacentral:rRNA from 1 species
CCUACGGGAGGCAGCAGUGGGGAAUAUUGCACAAUGGGCGCAAGCCUGAUGCAGCCAUGCCGCGUGUGUGAAGAAGGCUCUAGGGUUGUAAAGCACUUUCAGCGAGGAGGAAAGGUUGGUUGUUAAUACCGGCCAACUGUGACGUUACUCGCAGAAGAAGCACCGGCUAACUCCGUGCCAGCAGCCGCGGUAAU